rnacentral:lncRNA from 1 species
GAAGAGUCUCCUAGAAUAGAGAAGCCGAGGUUAAAAUUGUGGGAGAGAGUGGGGAUAACUGAGUGACAGAUAAUCAGGAGAACAAAAGGAGCUCCAGAAUCAUGACAGAGAGAUGACCUUUGCCAAGAGCACAGCCCCCUCCCCUGUGACAGAGGGGUAGGACAAAACAAUUGGUGUUCAAGUGUUGGUUUAACUAUGUCCUUUAAAACAUUUCUCCACAGACACUGCCCAAAGCAGCCCUUCACUACAGUGGCAGAUACACCUGCAAAUCUUCGCCUAAAACAGUGACCUGACCAAGCUAACUGCUGCUGCCUGGAACACUGUCCUUACUUUAGAAAUGUCGACCAGAUUGUAGGAUACCCAAACAACCUUUUCAAGCAGAAAGCAAACAGAUUAAGAAAGUAGCCAGAUGAGUUAGCGAGCCCAACAGUGACUUUUGUUUCUUUUUUUCCCUGUUCCCUUUUCUUUUCAUGAUAGGAAAGGCUGGACAGGGAUGCGUUGCACCAGGAUGGCCCAGGAUGUGGGUUCUCCUUGAAUGAAUGUUUGGCAGUCUGGCAGCCUGACAUGGUCUGCCUCCUUCUUUGGUCUGAGCUUGCCCACUGCUUAGAAAGGGCCAUGGGCAGUUCUGUCAGGGAGUUUUCCCAACAUUGAGAAGGUGACAUUUCUACUCCCCGUUGCAGUCUGCACCUCUGACCUGUGGUCAGCAGACAGGACAGAGGCACUCAGUAGACAGAGCUCAGAGGACAGCACUCAGUCCCGGCGGAAGGUUCAAUGUCCAGCUUUGCACCCACCCCAUGUGACCACAAGCAGGCUCCAUGACCUUGUGGGUCAGUUUCCUCACCCUGUUCAGGAGGAAUUGUACUACCAUCCUGUUAGGAAAUUUGUGAGGAUCACUGCGUUACUCAUGUAAGGUCUUUGGAAAGUGUCAUGUUAUUGUUUAUUAACUGCUUGUUGGUGGCCUGGCUGAGCCACAUCCUUUAUGAAAACCAGAACCCCUCAGCACUUACCUGCAUUUGCCCACAUAGUCUCCAUUUAGAAAAUGGGAAAAGUCACGUCUGCCUACCUGCCAAUGGGGUAAGAGGUAAGUUUCUUGUUGAAAUCUGAGCAGAAAAAUAUGACCAAU